rnacentral:rRNA from 1 species
GGCAGAGGGGGCGAGCGUUGUCCGGAGUCACUGGGCGUAAAGCGCGCGCAGGCGGUCGCCAAGUGUCGUGUGAAAGCCCCCGGCUCAACCGGGGGAGGCCAUGGCAAACUCGGCGACUGGAGCGGCGGAGAGGCCCCUCGAAUUGCCGGUGUAGCGGUGAAAUGCGUAGAGAUCGGCAGGAAGAACAAGGGGGAAGCCAGGGGGCUGGCCGCUGGCUGACGCUGGGGCGCGACAGCGUGGGGAGCGAACCGG